rnacentral:rRNA from 1 species
GAUGAACGCUGGCGGCGUGCCUAAUACAUGCAAGUCGAGCGAACGGACGAGAAGCUUGCUUCUCUGAUGUUAGCGGCGGACGGGUGAGUAACACGUGGAUAACCUACCUAUAAGACUGGGAUAACUUCGGGAAACCGGAGCUAAUACCGGAUGAUAUUUUGAACCGCAUGGUUCAAAAGUGAAAGACGGUCUUGCUGUCACUUAUAGAUGGAUCCGCGCUGCAUUAGCUAGUUGGUAAGGUAACGGCUUACCAAGGCAACGAUGCAUAGCCGACCUGAGAGGGUGAUCGGCCACACUGGAACUGAGACACGGUCCAGACUCCUACGGGAGGCAGCAGUAGGGAAUCUUCCGCAUUGGGCGAAAGCCUGACGGAGCAACGCCGCGUGAGUGAUGAAGGUCUUCGGAUCGUAAAACUCUGUUAUUAGGGAAGAACAUAUGUGUAAGUAACUGUGCAUAUCUUGACGGUACCUAAUCAGAAAGCCACGGCUAACUACGUG